rnacentral:rRNA from 1 species
UACAGAGGGUGCAGGCGUUGUUCGGAAUUAUUGGGCGUAAAGGGCGCGUAGGCGGUGCGGUAAGUCUGUAGUGAAAUCUCUGGGCUCAACUCAGAGUCUGCUGCAGAAACUGCCGUGCUUGAGUGUGGGAGAGGUGAGUGGAAUUCCCGGUGUAGUGGUGAAAUGCGUAGAUAUCGGGAGGAACACCUGUGGCGAAAGCGGCUCACUGGACCACAACUGACGCUGAGGCGCGAAAGCUAGGGGAGCAAACAGG